GACGAACGCUGGCGGCGUGCCUAAUACAUGCAAGUCGAACGCUGACGGAGGAACUUGCUUCUCUGGUUGAGUUGCGAACGGGUGCGUAACGCGUAGGUAACCUACCUGGUAGUGGGGGAUAACUAUUGGAAACGAUAGCUAAUACCGCAUCAUAGCCGUUAUUGCAUUAUAACUGUUUGAAAGUUGCACUUUCACCACUACCAGAUGGCCCUGCGUUGGAUUAGCUAGUUGGUGGGGUAACGGCUCACCAAGGCGACGAUACAUAUCCGCCCUGAGAGGGUGAUCGGCCACACUGGAACUGAGACACGGCCCAGACUCCUACGGGAGGCAGCAGUAGGGAAUCUUCGGCAAUGGGCGGAAGUCUGACCGAGCAACGCCGCGUGAGUGAAGAAGGUUUUCGGGUCGUAAAGCUCUGUUGUAAGGGAAGAACAGGUGUGGGAGUAGAAGUUCACGCUGUGACGGUACCUAACCAGAAAGAGACGGCUAACUACGUG
rnacentral:rRNA from 1 species